rnacentral:rRNA from 1 species
AACGAACGCUGGCGGCAGGCCUAACACAUGCAAGUCGAGCGCCCGCUUCGUGGUGGGCUGCGGUCGGGUGAGUAACGCGUGGGAACGUUCCCUUCUCUGCGGAAUAGCCUCUUUUAGCUGAGAGUAAUACCGCAUACGCCCUGUUGGUGCAAGAUUUAUCGGAGGAGGGACGGCCCGAGUUGUUUUAGGUAGGUGGGGGUGGAAGAGCCUACCACGCCUACGAUCCAUAGCGGGGUUGAGAGGCUGGUCCGCGACACUGGGACUGAGACACGGCCCAGAAUAUUACGGGAAGCAGCAGUGGGGAAUCUUAGAAAAUGGGGGCAACGAUGAAGUAGCCAUGCCGCGUGAGUGAUGAAGGCCUUAGGGAAGUAAAGCUCUUUCAGAUGGGAAGAUAAUGACGGUACCAGAAGAAGAAGCACCGGCUAACUCCGUG